CUUGACUAAUUAGUGCAGUGGUAUUUUAGGGCGAUAAAUCAAGUAGAGAUGGGGCCGAGGACGGCGGGGCAGGAGGAGGGCUGCACGGAGCAUCGACAAUGAACCCACACCAGAGGGAGUAAUCCUAAUGUACAAGGCUUGUGCGCGCGUGUGUGCUGUGAAGAGAAUGUGCACAGCAGAGAUCCUGAAGUAAAGCACCGUUUAAAGAUGCUGAAGAGACCAAAGAGGUGACUGAGGGAGGUGAGUACUUUCAGUCUGGAAGAGGAGGUGAGAAAGGUAGCCAGAGAGAGGGGAGGCGGGGGGAGAGAAGAAAUUGAGGUAGGUUGAGAGAUGACCUCUGCUCUGCCAACUGUGCUGUUUCCUGGCACGCGGCCAAGCUCGGAUGCUCGUUGCACCUAUUUUCAUAAAGGAGAAGGGCUCAGCUACAUACUAGGACUGCUACUGAUCCAUAUUUAUGCUCACAUUGUAAACCUUGUACAAUAGUUCAAUGAGCAUAACAGUUGGCAUCAUUUACGCAGCGAUACUGAUGUGAUAAUUGUGGCAUCUGUGAUUGGGAGGUGAAUAAUUCUGGCAGCCAUGAUAAGCUGUGUAUCCGUCUAUGUAUGUGUGUGUGUGUGUGUGUGUGUGCCUGUAGGUGUGCCAGGCCCCCACCAUAGGUACCCAUGGAGAUCUCCGGACUGAAAUAUUCAUUCUUGUUUGCUCGCCCAGACAGUGUGGUCCUAAUUGCAGCAUCAGAAAGCUCCACCUCUUCCUCUCGUCUGGCUUGGCUGCAGCAGAGAUAAACCUCAUCUGGGAGCAGGAUGUCUCUGGCGAAUAUGAGGCUCUGGAGUUUUUCAUCAGUUCCCGUGCCAACCCUACCCAUGCCUGGCCAAGCUGAACCAUCUUGUGGGAUUUUUGGCUUUUAAUUAUACACUCAGUGUACCACUUCAGAUGAUGGCUUCCACAGAUGGCACCCAGUGGUUGAAGGAACCUGAUUCAAUCAGACAACCUGGUUUGGCGUCAAACAUCC